CCGCGUUUCACAGGUCGUUAGAUACCACGGAUCUCUUGAGAAAAUUACAGAAACCCACGUGGCAAGAAAAGUGGAUAUUUGUUUACUCAACAAGGUUAUUUCCUAACCGCAGUUGACCUCUCACGAGAAAAGGUUGCGCAGCUGACAGUCAACUGUGUAUUCAAAAUAUACAACAUACGUUUUAGAAAAUGACACGUAAAAGGAAAAGUAACGACUGCUAUUCAGAUAGACAUAAACGUCGACUCGUUGAACAACAAACUAAAUUAAGUAUUAUUAGAAUGAAGCACGUUAAGCACAUAUAGUACGAAAUGUAAAGUCGUGAUCCAAACGCUUUUUUUAAAAUAUACAUGAAAAUAAGUAUAGUUUUUUCUCGAUUUAAACUUAUUAUUAUAAUAUUAUAAUAAUUGAAUUAUUUUUAAAUCAAUAAUGCAUAUGAAAAUAUAGGUUAUGGUAAUUAAGCUGAUACAGGGCAGUCUUUUGCUAUACACCAUAUUUACUAGUAUAGUAGUAACUAUACGUAGUAACAUUUACUACGUGUAUUACGUAACAUUUCUUCGUAAAUAUUGUGCAGAGCAAAAAACUGUCCUAUAUCAGCUUAAUUAUUAUAGCCUAUAUUUUCAUAUGCAUUAUUGUUCCCAAAAUAAUAUAAUCAUAAUAAUAUAACGAUAAGUUUAUAUUGAGAAAAAGACCAUACUUACUUCCACGUAUAUUUCGAAAGAAGCCUUUGGUUCACGACUUUACAUUUCGUACUACGCACUAGUAUAGUAUGUGUAGUAACAUUCACUACGUGUGUUA